GAUGAACGCUGGCGGCGUGCCUAAUACAUGCAAGUCGAGCGAACGGACGAGAAUCUUGCUUCUCUGAUGUUAGCGGCGGACGGGUGAGUAACACGUGGAUAACCUACCUAUAAGACUGGGAUAACUUCGGGAAACCGGAGCUAAUACCGGAUAAUAUUUUGAACCGCAUGGUUCAAUAGUGAAAGACGGUCUUGCUGUCACUUAUAGAUGGAUCCGCGCUGCAUUAGCUAGUUGGUAAGGUAACGGCUUACCAAGGCAACGAUGCAUAGCCGACCUGAGAGGGUGAUCGGCCACACUGGAACUGAGACACGGUCCAGACUCCUACGGGAGGCAGCAGUAGGGAAUCUUCCGCAAUGGGCGAAAGCCUGACGGAGCAACGCCGCGUGAGUGAUGAAGGUCUUCGGAUCGUAAAACUCUGUUAUUAGGGAAGAACAUAUGUGUAAGUAACUGUGCACAUCUUGACGGUACCUAAUCAGAAAGCCACGGCUAACUACGUG
rnacentral:rRNA from 1 species